UAGGAAACCUAUCAGUUCUGUAGGGCUCUAUGUCAAUAAUGAAUUAAUAGCAAGUUCAAAUCCCAACUCUCAGAUUGACACAGAAACACAUUAUUUACUCGAGAAAGUUGUUUGUGAGGAAGUAUCAGCUCAAGAGAAAUAUUUGAAGAUCGACUGUGCCAUUGAGCUUAAGGAACAGUGGCAAGAUCUACAUGUUGAAGAUGAAUUUGUUUUUGUUGAUGAUCUGGAAAACUAUCAUAAAAAACUUCCUAAUUUAUCUACACUUCUG
rnacentral:lncRNA from 1 species